rnacentral:rRNA from 1 species
GGCCUACCAUGGUGGUAACGGGUAACGGGGUGUUAGGGCACGACACCGGAGAGGGAGCCUGAGAAACGGCUACCACAUCCAAGGAUGGCAGCAGGCGCGCAAAUUACCCAAUCCCGACACGGGGAGGUAGUGACAAUAAAUAACAAUACGGGGUUCUUUAGGAUCUCGUAAUUGGAAUGAGUACAAUUUAAAUCUCUUAACGAGGAACAAUUGGAGGGCAAGUCUGGUGCCAGCAGCCGCGGUAAUUCCAGCUCCAAUAGCGUAUAUUAAAGUUGUUGCAGUUAAAAAGCUCGUAGUUGAAUUUCGGGAUCAGAUUGUCGGUCGUGCCUCGGUACGCACUGGCAUUAUUGGUUCCUACCUUCUGAAGAACCGCGAUGUCAUUAAUUUGGUGUCGGGGGGAAUCAGGACUGUUACUUUGAAAAAAUUAGAGUGUUUAAAGCAGGCGCACGCUUGAAUACAUUAGCAUGGAAUAAUGAAAUAGGACGUUUGAUUCUAUUUUGUUGGUUUCUAGGAUCGACGUAAUGAUUAAUAGGGAUAGUUGGGGGCAUUAGUAUUCAAUUGUCAGAGGUGAAAUUCUUGGAUUUAUUGAAGACUAACUACUGCGAAAGCAUUUGCCAAGGAUGUUUUCAUUAAUCAAGAACGAAAGUUAGGGGAUCGAAGACGAUCAGAUACCGUCGUAGUCUUAACCAUAAACUAUGCCGACUAGGGAUCGGAUGAUGUUAAUUUUUUAAUGACUCAUUCGGCGCCUUACG